UAGACUGAGGAACCUAAACUUUCACUAUUUCUCAGUUCUCAGACGGGACACUAUUAUGUACUUGAGUCAAUUGGUAUGCCAGAAUGCAAGCUUGGCCUUAACGAUCGAGUGUUGCUAGAGGCACAAGGCAGAGCAACAAAGGGAAAAGCUAUUGAUUUGGAAGACAUCAAAUUUCAUCAGUAAAGAAGAAGGGUGAUAAAGAUGAGAGGAAGCUCAAGAGAAGGAUGACUAAUCCAAUGGAUUCUGUUUUUCUUUUUAUUAAUGGGCUUUGAUGUUUGUGGAGUUUAAUCUUUUUUUGGUUCCCAAUAAAAUACAUUAUCUGUGAUUGAACUUUCAGCUUGUUGGUUAGCUUUUCUCAGCU